rnacentral:rRNA from 1 species
AGGGUUUGAUCCUGGCUCAGAACGAACGCUGGCGGCGUGGAUUAGGCAUGCAAGUCGAGCGAGGGCGAGAGCUUCGGCUCUCGAAUCGAGCGGCGAAAGGGUGAGUAAUGCAUAGGCAAUCUGCCCGCGAGUUCGGGAUAACCGCUGGAAACGGCGACCAAUACCGAAUUGCCCCGGUUGAAGACAUCUUCGGCCGGGUAAAGGGGGGGACCUUCGGGCCUCUCGCUCGCGGAGGAGCCUAUGUCCUAUCAGCUAGUUGGUGGGGUAACGGCCCACCAAGGCGAUGACGGGUAGCCGGGCUGAGAGGUUGACCGGCCACACUGGGACUGAGACACUGCCCAGACUCCUACGGGAGGCUGCAGUCGAGAAUCUUCCGCAAUGGGCGAAAGCCUGACGGAGCGACGCCGCGUGGAGGACGAAGGCCUUCGGGUUGUAAACUCCUGUCACGUGACGAGAAAUGUAAGGCGCUAAUAUCGUCUUGCUUGACAACUCAUGAGAGGAAGUCACGGCUAACUCUGUGCCAGCAGCCGCGGUAAUACAGAGGUGGCAAGCGUUGUUCGGAAUCACUGGGCAUAAAGGGCGCGUAGGCGGUUGAGCAAGUCGGGUGUGAAAGCCCUCGGCCUAACCGAGGAACUGCAUCCGAUACUGUUCGACUAGAGUGCGGUAGGGGAGAGUGGAACUCCUGGUGGAGCGGUGAAAUGCGUAGAUAUCAGGAGGAACGCCGGUGGCGAAAGCGACUCUCUGGCCCGUAACUGACGCUGAGGCGCGAAAGCCAGGGGAGCAAACGGGGUUAGAUACCCCGGUAGUCCUGGCCCUAAACGAUGGGCACUAGGUAGUGGAGGGUCCGAUCUCUUCACUGCCGGAGCAAAUGUGUUAAGUGCCCCGCCUGGGGAGUACAGUCGCAAGGCCGAAACUCAAAGGAAUUGACGGGGGCUCACACAAGCGGUGGAGGAUGUUGCUUAAUUCGAAGCAACGCGCAGAACCUUACCUGGGCUUGACAUGCUAGUGGUACGACCCCGAAAGGGUUAGGACCUGGUUUUCCAGGAGCUAGCACAGGUGUUGCAUGGCUGUCGUCAGCUCGUGUCGUGAGAUGUUGGGUUAAGUCCCGUAACGAGCGAAACCCUUGUCGUUAGUUGCCAGCGGGUAAUGCCGGGGACUCUAGCGAGACUGCCGGUGUCAAACCGGAGGAAGGUGGGGACGACGUCAAGUCAUCAUGGCCCUUACGCCCAGGGCUGCAAACGUCCUACAAUGGUCGGUACAAAGGGAAGCAAGACCGCAAGGUGGAGCGAAUCCCAAAAAGCCGGCCCCAGUUCGGAUUGUGGGCUGCAAUUCGCCCGCAUGAAGCCGGAAUCGCUAGUAAUCGCGGAUCAGCACGCCGCGGUGAAUAUGUUCCUGAGCCUUGUACACC